rnacentral:tRNA from 2 species
ACUAUUUUGACAGAAAAAAUGUGAUGAUUUUAGAAGUCAUAAAUAUAUAAUUAUAUUAUAUAAAUGGUA